rnacentral:lncRNA from 1 species
CCCGAUUUGGACCAACUUGAAAACUGGGCCAAUAAUCAAGAAUCUAAGUACAUUUUUAGAUUCAGCAUAUCAAAUAACCUAACUGAUUCAUUUUUUUGUCAAAAUCAAACUAAGUUUAAUUUUGGACCCUUUGGACCUUAAUGUAGACCAAUUUGAAAACGGGACCAAAAGUUAAGAAUCUACAUACACAGUCAUGACAGUUAGAUUCGGCAUAUCAAAGAACCCAAAUUAUUCAAUUUUGAUGAAAUCAAACAAAGUUUAAUUUUGGACCCUUUGGGCCCCUUAUUAUGUUGGGACCAAAACUCCCAAAAUCAAUACCAACCUUCCUUUUAUGGUCAUAAACCUUGUGUUUAAAUUUCAUAGAUUUCUAUUUACUUAUACUAACGUUAUGGUGCGAAAACCAAGAAAAAUGCUUAUUUGGGUCCCUUUUUGGCCCUUAAUUCCUAAACUGUUGGGACCUAAACUCCCAAAAUCAAUAACAACCUUCCUUUUGUAGUCAUUAACAUUGUGUUUAAAUUUCAUUGAUUUCUAUUUACUUAAACUAAAGUUAUUGUGCGAAAACCAAGAAUAAUGCUUAUUUGGGCCCUUUUUUGGCCCCUAAUUCCUAAACUGUUGAAACAAAACUCCCAAAAUCAAUCCCAACCGUUCUUUAGUGGUCAUAAACCUUGUGUCAAAAUUUCAUAGAUUUCUAUUAACUUAAACUAAAGUUAUAGUGCGAAAACCAAGAAAAUGCUUAUUUGGGCCCUUUUUGGCCCCUAAUUCCUAAAAUGUUUGGACCAAAACUCCCAAAACCAAUACCAACCUUCCUUUUGUGGUCAUAAACCUUGUGUUAAAAUUUCAUAGAUUUCCAUUCACUUUUACUAAAGUUAGAGUGCGAAAACUAAAAGUAUUCGGACGACGACGACGACGCAGACGACGACGACGACGCAGACGACGACGCCAACGUGAUAGCAAUGUACGACAAAAAAAUUUUCAAAUUUUGCGGUCGUAUAAAAACCAUUUA